UACGUAGGGGGCAAGCGUUGUCCGGAUUCACUGGGCGUAAAGAGCUCGUAGGCGGCUUAGUAAGUCGGCGUGUCAAAUCUCCGGGCUUAACCCGGAGUCGCACCCGAUACUGCUAUAGCUAGAGUCCGGUAGGGGACCAUGGAAUUCCUGGUGUAGCGGUGAAAUGCGCAGAUAUCAGGAGGAACACCAAUGGCGAAGGCAGCUCGCUGGGACGGUACUGACGCUGAGACGCGAAAGCGUGGGGAGCAAACAGG
rnacentral:rRNA from 1 species